UGGGGAAUAUUGCACAAUGGGCGCAAGCCUGAUGCAGCCAUGCCGCGUGUGUGAAGAAGGCCUUCGGGUUGUAAAGCACUUUCAGCGAGGAGGAAGGUGGUGAGCCUAAUACGCUCAUCAAUUGACGUUACUCGCAGAAGAAGCACCGGCUAACUCCGUGCCAGCAGCCGCGGUAAUACGGAGGGUGCAAGCGUUAAUCGGAAUUACUGGGCGUAAAGCGCACGCAGGCGGUUUGUUAAGUCAGAUGUGAAAUCCCCGGGCUCAACCUGGGAACUGCAUUUGAAACUGGCAAGCUAGAGUCUCGUAGAGGGGGGUAGAAUUCCAGGUGUAGCGGUGAAAUGCGUAGAGAUCUGGAGGAAUACCGGUGGCGAAGGCGGCCCCCUGGACGAAGACUGACGCUCAGGUGCGAAAAGCGUGGGGAGCAAAACAGGAUUAGAUACCCUGGUAGUCCACGCUGUAAAACGAUGUCGAUUUUGGAGGUUGUGCCCUUGAGGCGUGGCUUCCGGAGCUAACGCGUUAAAUCGACCGCCU
rnacentral:rRNA from 1 species